UUAAAGCUAUGUCAGCAAUUA
rnacentral:miRNA from 1 species